rnacentral:rRNA from 1 species
UUUCGGACAAUGGGGGCAAGCCUGAUCCAGCCAUGCCGCGUGAGUGAAGAAGGCCUUCGGGUUGUAAAGCUCUUUCGGCCCCCCCCCCAACGGUUCGUGCUAAUACCACGGACUAAUGACGGUACCCGAAGAAGAAGCACCGGCUAACUACGUGCCAGCAGCCGCGGUAAUACGUAGGGUGCAGGCGUUAGUCGGAAUUACUGGGCGUAAAGCGUGCGCAGGCGGUUUGUUAAGACAGAUGUGAAAUCCCCGGGCUUAACCUGGGAACUGCGUUUGUAACUGGCAAGCUAGAGUGUGGCAGAGGGGGGUAGAAUUCCAGGUGUAGCAGUGAAAUGCGUAGAUAUCUGGAGGAAUACCGAUGGCGAAGGCAGCCCCCUGGGUUAACACUACGCUCAUGCACGAAA